GGCGAACGGGGUGUGAUCGCUCUCCUAAAGCGGGUGUCGCAGGUUCGAAUCCUGCUGGGGCCACCA
rnacentral:tRNA from 1 species